AAUGUACUCCCUCCGUCCGAAAAUACUUGUCAUCAAAAUGGACAAAAAAGGAUGUAUCUAGAACUAAAAUACAUCUAGAUACAUCCCCUUUUAUUCAUUUUGAUGACAAGUAUUUCCGGACGAAGGGAGUAACUA
rnacentral:pre_miRNA from 1 species